AAAUCAAUAUUGCAUCUUCGUCUACACUUACCUUGCAAAAGAGACCUAAUUAAAAACAAGAGUGAGAGGGAUGGAGAUCGGAAAAGUUCUCUUCCAAAAAGAUGUAGAAGGAAUUCCGAAACCAACAUUCGAAGGAGCGGUGCAAGUUCAAUUAUCCAAUCCAGAUUUUGAUGACGCUGCUAAAUACGCUAUUAAAGCUUACAAUGAGGAACAGGGUACUCACCUUGAGUUUGGGAGCGUUAUAAGUGGCUGGGACAAGGAUUUAGCCAUUUUGGGAACAUUGUACCUCGUAGUUUUUUUUGCUAAAGAUGGCGAUCAUACCAUGAUGUAUUUUGCGGCAGUCCACAAGACCCUCGCGACGAAGAUUCUACUGCCCUUCAUUUAUAUUGCCGGGUGACACUAAGGAACUUUAUAUCUAUUUUAAAACCAAUUUACAAUGAGUGAAGAUGUCCCAAAUUUUAUUAAGUGAUCACUUAUUCUAUUCCCAAAUAAUGUGGGAUUCUAUUUCCUCAUCAUCAUUCCUCACGUGCAGCUGCAUUUGAGGUUUGUCACGUUUAGCUUUUUUUUUGGGGGCUCAAUCUCACCGUUCACUUGCGGAGAGCCGGAUCAAAGCUCUGUAUGGACUGAGCCCAAAAGAGUCAAUAGCAUCUGAAAGGUUUCAAACUUGAGAUCUUAAGAGGGAACAAACCUCUAAAUCCCUGACCUUAACCAUCAGACCAAUUUCAGGGUUUUGGGGCACUGCUUAUUGGGGGAUCCACAAUGGAAUCAAGCUUAAAUGAUGUAUUUACAGGCCUCAAAAACAAUUUAGAAAAUGUUUAAGGACCACUGCGGCAGAAAGUGUGCACAAUAAGAUCAGAUGCUCAUCCACAAGGAAUAAUCCACAAA